GGGGAGCCGACUGAGCAUGCUCAGUCUGCUCCCCUCUCUCUCUCUCCUUCAGGAGGGAGAGAGAGGGGAGCAGACUGAGCAUGCUCACUCUGCUCC